rnacentral:lncRNA from 1 species
AAAGACUGAGAGAAUCAGAAAGAGAAUUGAGAGAGAAAAAUUAACAGAGAGAAAAAUACAGACAAGGAAAAACUUUGAAGAAGAAAACAAAGAAAGGCGGUAAACAAGAGAAGAAAAAGAAAGAAAAGAGUGAAGGUCGGGUUUUCGUUUGAAUUUUUGGUGGCGAUGUUUCUGUUCUUAUAAUCAUUUAAGUUUUAUGAAUCAAAGCAUGAAAUCUGAGCUGAUUAUUUAUGUGUGGUUUUAAAUCUGAGUUGUAUGUUUAAUUGCCCUUCAGAGCAUUUUAAUAUUUGUCCGUGGAUUUGGAGGUUUCAAGAUAUUAAUAUCUUGGAUAUAAAUAUGUUCUAAUUUGUGUUUGAAUUAAAG